rnacentral:rRNA from 1 species
UACGUAGGGGGCAAGCGUUGUCCGGAAUCAUUGGGCGUAAAGAGCGCGUAGGCGGCCCAGUCAGUCCGCUCUGAAAGUCAGGGGCUUAACCCCUGAAUGCGGGUGGAUACUGCUGGGCUAGAGUCCGGAAGAGGCGAGUGGAAUUCCUGGUGUAGCGGUGAAAUGCGCAGAUAUCAGGAGGAACACCGGUGGCGAAGGCGGCAUCCUGGACCGGCAUUGACGCUGAGGCGCGAAAGCCAGGGGAGCAAACGGG